rnacentral:rRNA from 1 species
GAUGAACGCUAGCUACAGGCUUAACACAUGCAAGUCGAGGGGCAGCACAGUGUAGCAAUACAUGGGUGGCGACCGGCGCACGGGUGCGUAACGCGUAUCCAACCUUCCCGUUACUCAGGGAUAGCCUUCCGAAAGGGAGAUUAAUACCUGAUGGUGUUGAAAUUCCGCAUGUUAUUUCAACUAAAGAUUUAUCGGUAACGGAUGGGGAUGCGUGACAUUAGGUAGAUGGCGGGGUAACGGCCCACCAUGCCUACGAUGUCUAGGGGUUCUGAGCGGCAGGUCCCCCACACUGGAACUGAGACACGGGCCAGACUCCUACGAGAGGCAGCAGUGAGGAAUAUUGGUCAAUGGUCGGAAGACUGAACCAGCCAAUUAGCGUGAAGGAUGAAGGUUCUAUGGAUUGUAAACUUCUUUUAUACGGGAAUAAAACCUCCCACGUGUGGGAGCUUGUAUGUACCGUAUGAAUAAGCAUCGGUUAACUCCGGGCCAGUCGCCGCCGUAACAC